UGUACAGCGGCCUGUGACUACAGCGUGAGAGAGGCUCUCCCGGUCGCUUCUCUGGUAGCUAAAGAUCGUCUCUCCCUAUAGCUGAAGCAGACAAAACAUAACCCCAAACAAAACCAGAAACAUAUGUGAUGCUUUGCAAGGCAUCCUGCAGCAAAGAACAUAGAGGGGGAAAAAAAAAAUCAACAUUUUAUGUUUUGCUUAAUUCUGCAGUUUAUCACGUCUUUGAAAAUGUGGCCAAGAAAUAUGAUGUAAUGAAUGAUUCAAUGACUUUAGGGAUUCAUCGACUGUGGAAGGAUAUCCUCUUGCAUAAAAUGAACCCUUCUCCUGGAACACUUCUUCUUGAUGUUGCUGGAGGAACAGGUGACAUAGCCUUUCGAUUUAUUAAUUACGUUCGCUCUGCACGAGAACGCCAGCUCCAGCAGAAGCUUAAGCACCAUCAGAAUUUAUCGUGGCAGGAAAUUUCUGAGAGUUACCAGGAAGACAAAUUUAAGUCACUAGGGGAUUCCCAAGUGGUGGUCUGUGACAUUAACAAAGAAAUGUUAAAAGUUGGGAAGGAGAAAGCACAGCAUCUUGGCUACUCCGAAGGUUUGUCCUGGGUGCUUGGGGAUGCUGAAGAGUUGCCCUUUGAUGAUGAUAAGUUUGAUGUUUACACAAUUGCCUUUGGAAUCCGAAAUGUAACUCGUAUUGAUUUGGCACUGCAGGAGGCCUAUCGUGUGCUGAAACCAGGAGGAAGAUUCCUCUGCCUUGAAUUUAGUCACGUCAGCAACCCUCUUCUUUCCAGGCUCUAUGAUCUAUACAGUUUCCAGGUUAUCCCUGUUCUGGGUGAGGUUAUCGCUGGUGACUGGAAGUCUUACCAGUAUCUCGUGGAGAGCAUCCGACGUUUCCCCCCUCAGGAGGAGUUGAAGGCAAUGAUAGAAGAUGCAGGCUUUUUUAAAGUGGAUUAUCAGAAUUUAAACUCGGGCAUUGUUGCCAUUCACUCAGGUUUCAAACUGUGAGUCUACUAUGUAGCAAAACACAGGAAGUGUAAUUUUCCUGAGGAAUAUGAAAGCUGUGGAAUUUUAACACCAUCAAGCUUGAAGAGGAGUUUUAAGAACUUUGUGCAGUCAGACCCAGAAGAACGUCAGCUGCCUUUUCUCCCCCAAGAAACUUGCAGAUGGAGUGACUCCUGUGGUGUUUCUUACACUUGCAUUUCCCUUCAAGUACAGCAUAAAGGACAUGGCCAAAACUCAGCAAUGCUAACAGAUGAAGCAACUUCAGUUACCAGUGGUGUGGAUACAGAAAUAGACUGAGUAGCCUUUGAAUAAGAUGCCUCCUGUUUUUUUUACUAAGCUUCAGGGAGGGUAUCAUACCAGUGAGAAGUAACUUGGAUUUAUUACAUUUUUAUUAAGCUGUCAUUAUCUUUGUCAUGUGGACUUUAAGGGAUUUUUUCCCAUGAUUCCUUUACAUCUUUCAAAGGCAAAUGGAAGGCUUGUGAAAUAAAACAGCUCUGUGACAACUUUUUUCACUUAAGUUAAUAUUUUAACCUUUAGAAAGGAAACCUUAUAAGAAAGGAAUUUUUUUCUGAAGAGUGACCACAUACCUAUAUUCUGGGAUGAGAUGACAUGUUUUAACCUCCAUACAAAAUCAUUUUGUCAAAGCUAGAUGCAUAACCUCUACAUAAAAAUACUGUGCAUUUCCUUCUGUUCUUUAAACAAAACUGUUGAAGAACAGAUGCUUCUGUAGCAGGAUACAGGGCUAGAUUAAAAAAAAAAACCUAGAGAAGGUAAAUUACAUUCUGAAGUGACAGGUGUGUAAUGAACUAGUAUGAAAAUUUCUCUCUUCUGAAAAUUGGGAGAUGAAAAGACUAUUGCUUUUAACUCACCAAUUCACUUAAAAUCAGAAAAGCAGCACCACGUAUCUAAACUCCAGAAUUUGCACUGGAGGUUGUGCAUACUGAAAAUAUACUUACCAAGAACUGAAAAGCCAUCUCUCUUCUCUCUGGGAAACUAUCUCCUGUUGUUCUCAGUUACUGACUAAUGAGGUAUUCAUAGAUCAGCCCAGGCUUCAGAUGUGGAUUUCAGGGACGAAACAAAGCCACAAUGAAAAUAC